AGAGUUUGAUCAUGGCUCAGAGCGAACGCUGGCGGCAGGCCUAACACAUGCAAGUCGAGCGCCGUAGCAAUACGGAGCGGCAGACGGGAGAGUAACACGUGGGAACGUGCCCUUCAGUUCGGAACAACCCAGGGAAACUUGGGCUAAUACCGGAUACGUCCGUAAGGAGAAAGAUUUAUCGCUGAAGGAUCGGCCCGCGUCUGAUUAGCUUGUUGGUGAGGUAACGGCUCACCAAGGCGACGAUCAGUAGCUGGUCUGAGAGGAUGAUCAGCCUCACUGGGACUGAGACACGGCCCAGACUCCUACGGGAGGCAGCAGUGGGGAAUAUUGGACAAUGGGCGCAAGCCUGAUCCAGCCAUGCCGCGUGGAUGAUGAAGGCCCUAGGGUUGUAAAGUCCUUUCGGCGGGGAAGAUAAUGACGGUACCCGCAGAAGAAGCCCGGCUAACUUCGUGCCAGCAGCCGCGGUA
rnacentral:rRNA from 1 species